rnacentral:tRNA from 1 species
GGUCUCGUAGCUCAGCUGGAUAGAGCGUCAGCUUGCGGAGCUGAAGGUCGGAGGUUCGAAUCCUCCCGAGAUCACCA